CAGUGCCAGGCCGUGCUCCACAGAACACUCUCUCAGGUCUGUAUUAUCUGAUCGGGUCCAGACUGAAUUUCACCAUUUUGUCAGCACCAAGGCAGCAGAAGCAGAAGAGCUGAAGGUGACCUGUGGCUGGGCCGGGGGCUGCAACACAGGACAUGGGAGCUGCCUCUCACUCCCGCUCGUGUCUUGUGUUGCAGCCAGUGGAACUGCUGCACUGUCCACAUCAGAGAAGGAAGGAAGCAUCGCGCUCUGGGAACAUUACACCAUCUUACAGUUGCUGUCUGUCAAAUCUUUGCUCCUCUCAUCUUCUUCUAAAAGGAAAACACAGAGCUGAUAAUGACAUCAAACAGGCUUCCAUAUCGACUGAUCGUCCCAGUUGUCAUCGUAAAACAUUAAACACUCGGAGUGGAAAGAAGACUGCGGGAGGGGCAGCGGAAACACGGGGAGGUGAAAUGGAGGACAGGGAAACCAGACAAGACUGAUAUUGGUGCGAGCGCUGGGGAUGUUGGUUUGAUGGCCAACAACCAUGAAAGCACCUCAGCGUGCAGCAGCACUGAAGGAUUUCAUUGUACUCGCUUUUGAUAAAUGUGAGGGGGAGUGAAGCCAGGAACAAUUCCAGCAGUGUUAUCAGGAGCAAACAGGCAGAGUCAUGGGGCCCCAUCUGCAGGAACGAGAUCGCAGCCAUGUUGCUCACUUUCCUGCGCGAGCGUGGACAGGCCGUGACUCAUUCAGCUGGCAGAGGGAAGCCGAUUCUCCAGAGCAUCUCCUAGACUGCCAACUUAUUUAUUGAUAAAGACAAGUGACCCUGUUUAAACAGGCAGCAUCAUCUUUCCUUAUUUUCACUCCACAAAUAUAACCC
ensembl:lncRNA